GAAAUUUUAAUGGAGGCUACUUUGGAUACUUAGUAGAAAGUUCUUUUGGACAAAGCAUGACAGAAGUCUGCUUGAUUCCAUUGAAAUUUUUGGAGUAAAAGACCCAGGGGUGACCAUGGAGACAAAUGUUUUACUGCCUUUUUAAAUAAUCCCAAGGUAAAGGAAGCACAGGGUAAAGCAGCUGUGUCACACGGGUUACAGGCAAAAUGUAUCACCUUAAAGAAUUGAAUGCAGAAGCAUUUUUAAACAAAGGAAAGGACAUUUGGAAAUAACAUUGACAAAAGAGGAGGAAGAGGAGCACUCUCUGAUGUUUACUAAGAAGGUUCCCAAAACUGGUGGAGGGAAGCCAACACAAAUUUAUCCUCGUCAAGAUCCACUCAACCCAAGUCCAUAAGAUGAUCCCCUGCAAACUCAAUCAUGUGAAGCAUGGAUAGUGCAUGAAGCAGAAAGUGGCAUGCGCACUAAAAUACACAAUUUUGCUUGGAGGCAAGAAAGUCUCCUCCUUUUCUAGCCUACUGCUGUCUCGAAGAGAGGGGAAAAUGGCUCUGGGUAUAACCUCCAGCCGAAAAGGAAAGUGGCUGUUGGAUGGCAUGGGGGUGACUCCAAUGGCACAAAACUCUGCGUUGGAGGCAAAUCUCACACUAACAAGUGGGAGAGAAGACAGCUUGCAUCUACACCCAGCAGGAGAGAGAAGCUUGGUCUGGGUUUUACUUUUCAGAAGAAUCCAUUUCAAAGCUUUACUGGUCUAUAAUGACAGGGGGGCAGAACCUCAAGUGACAAGCAAUUGAAUCAACUGAUUGUAUACAAUAUUACUGUAUUAUCAAAGUGAAUAAAGUGAGGUCUUUUCUGAAAGCUAACAACACACUGCUGAUUAAUAUCAUUGUGAAAUGUAUGUAUUAGCACUAUAUAAAGAAUUAUGAAUACUCAUUGGUAUUAGGCGGUACAGUUUGCCCAGAUAGGAGGGAAUGUCUCCAAUGUAAAACUAAGCAUGGUGGAAUCAGAAACAAUGGAAGCCCCAUUUACAUAGAAAUCAUACAGGGGGAUGGGAAGCCCACAGGAAGGGGAAAACAUCAUGAGGUCACCAAAGUUCAUUGGAUUCUGGGAGAUAUACACUAGGACAGAAGCCAUCUUUGGCAUCCAUUUCUAGACAGACACAAGAGAACAGAACCCUUGCAAGCCGAGAAAGAGGAUCAUUCAACUAAGUGGGGGGUUUGAAGUCUCUAAAACUGAAUAUAGGUGAGAAACCUACUUAGGCAAGGAUCUUUCAUCUGAGAAGACAAAGGAAGGCAGCACUCUGUGCUUUUGUGGAAGGUUCUGACUGAAAGAAAGUCAGCCACGGCUGGGAAGAAUGACUGGUGAGAGAAAUGAUCUUGAACAAAGCUUGUAUCUUGCUAGAUUAAAUUUUAGAUUUUUAGAAGCGUGUUUUGUUUUGUUUUACUUGUGACUCUCCCUACCUUUGUUCCUUAUACCUGAACUCACUUAAUCUGAUGUAUCUUUUGUUAAUAAAUUUAUUUCAUUUUU